ensembl:lncRNA
AGAAACAUGGUAAUAGAACAAAACAAGGGCUCUCCAUUUCACACGGAAUACAUAAUUAAUUAUUCAUUAUUUUAGAGUCAUAAACAUUUUUUUUUUCUCAAAGUACAAUUUAGGUUGAGAUUCCUAUUUUUUGUUGUUGUAAUAAUUAAUUCAAAAUGGGAUAAAUUAAGAGUAACAACGCGGAUAGAAAACAGGUUCACUGAUUAGAAGAGCCCAUAGGCUAUUGUUUUGAAUGUUUGUGUGAGAGGGGGAAAGUGUAGGCCUACAGUAUGCUGGUAGAACAGCGUAUAGUUCAAGUCCCCAGAAUAGUCCACAGCUUGUAAUGAUGUUCAGUACAGAUCCUGGUCAUUACUCCGCAGCGUGAACUAGCUAUGCCAACUGGAAAUGAACACACGGGCUAAUUACAAUUGAGUGGAGCUGCAAGAGGAAGACUUUAAAGGAAGGAGGUCACUCUGAUGGCAGGCAGCAUCCUCUUUAAAGGAAGGAGGUCACUCUGAUGGCAGGCAGCAUCCUCUCUAAAGGAAGGAGGUCACUCUGAUGGCAGGCAGCAUCCUCUCUAAAGGAAGGAGGUCACUCUGAUGGCAGGCAGCAUCCUCUCUAAAGGAAGGAGAACACUCUGAUGGCAGGCAGCAUCCUCUUUAAAGGAAGGAGGUCACUCUGAUGGCAGGCAGCAUCCUCUCUAAAGGAAGGAGGUCACUCUGAUGGCAGGCAGCAUCCUCUUUAAAGGAAGGAGAACACUCUGAUGGCAGGCAGCAUCCUCUUUAAAGGAAGGAGGUCACUCUGAUGGCAGGCAGC